AGCGAACGCUGGCGGCGUGCUUAACACAUGCAAGUCGAGUGCGCAGUUUCCUGUAGCAAUACAGGGAGUGGGCGCACGGCGCACGGGUGCGUAACACGUGGGCAAUCUGCCCCUCGGAUGGGGGAUAACCCCGCGAAAGCGGGGCUAAUACCGCAUGACAUUCCGAAGACUCCGGUCUUUGGACUCAAAGCCCGCAAGGGCGUCUGAGGAGGAGCCCGCGCCCGAUUAGCUAGUUGGUGAGGUAACGGCUCACCAAGGCUUUGAUCGGUA
rnacentral:rRNA from 1 species